rnacentral:rRNA from 1 species
UAAUACGUAGGGUGCGAGCGUUAAUCGGAAUUACUGGGCGUAAAGCGUGCGCAGGCGGUUCGUCGUGUCUGAUGUGAAAGCCCCGGGCUCAACCUGGGAAUGGCAUUGGAAACUGGCGGACUAGAGUGUGGCAGAGGGGGGUGGAAUUCCGCGUGUAGCAGUGAAAUGCGUAGAGAUGCGGAGGAACACCGAUGGCGAAGGCAGCCCCCUGGGCUAACACUGACGCUCAGGCACGAAAGCGUGGGGAGCAAACAGGAUUAGAUACCCUGGUAGUCCACGCCCUAAACCAUG